rnacentral:lncRNA from 1 species
GUGAUUACGGUUUAGGGUUUACUAAUUAGAAGGUGAGGGGUUAUGGUUGGAGUCAUUAUUAACUUCUUUCAUGCAAUCAUAGAUAUUUCAUAAUUUAACCAGUAUGUACUAUGCUAUUUAUUUUGUUCCAUUCUAUUUGGGUUUAGGGUUUAUAUUUGGGUUUAUGGUUUAUAUUUGGGUUUAGGGUUCACUGAUUAGAGUUUAUGGUUUAGUAUUUAGGGGUUGGGUGGGGUUGGGAUAAAUUUUAGUAUCUAGAUUGUAGACACUUCAAAAUUUGAACAAUAUAUAUGUAUAGUGCUAUAUCGUUUGUCAUAUUUUUUAUUCUAUAGGCUCAUGUAGAAUGGAAAUGCAUAUUAUUUGGGGGUUUAGUUUAUGAAAGAUUGGGGUUGUCAUUGAAUUAGGGUUUAUAUUUUCACGUAGAGUUUAGUGAUUAGUGGCUAGGGUUUAUAUUUCUGUGUAAGGUUUAGUGAUAGUUGAUAAGGUUUAGUUUAUGUACGAUUGGAGUUGACAUUGGGGCAAGCAUUACCACCUUCCGUGAAGGCAUGACCAUAUCAACAUUUGAAACUACAUUUUCACCAUUUCUAUUAUAUAUGAUUCAUGUAGAAUGGUAAUGCAUUUUACUGGCAUUUUGAAAUUUGGGUUUAGUUUAUGGAAAAUUGGGAUUAAUACAGGUUAAGAUUUAGAUUUUGAUAUUUGGAUUUAGGAUUCAUAUUUGGGUUAAGGUUUAGUGAUUAGAGUUUAGGAUUUACGGUUUAUUAUUUAGAAGGUGAGGAGGUAUGGUUGGAGUCAAUAUUAACUUCUUCCAUGAAAUCAUAGACAUUUCAUAUUUUCAUUAAUAUGUACUAUGUUUUUUUUCAUUCUAUUUGGGUUUAGGGCUUAUGUUUCAGUUUAUGGUUUAUAUUUGGGUAAGAGUUUAGUGAUUCGGGUUUUGGGUUUAGCAUUUAGAAGGUGAAGUGGUAUGUUUGGGGUCAGCAUUAACUUCUUCCAUGUAAUUAUAGACAUUUCGUAAUUUCUACAAUAUGUACUAUGUUAUUUAGUUUUUUUCUAUUUUAUUUGGGUUUUGGUUUUAUAUUUGGAUUUAUGAUUUAUAUUUGGGUUUAGGGUUUAUUGAUUCGGGUUUAGGGUUUAGCAUUUAGAAGGUGAGAGGGUAUGUUUAGGGUCAGCAUUAAUUUUUUCCAUGCAAUUAUAAAUAUUUCAUAAUUUCUCCAAUAUGUACUAUGUUAUUUAGUUUUUUCUAUUUUAUUUGGGUUUUGUUUUUAUAUUUUGAUUUAUGAUUUAUAUUUGGUUUAGGGUUUAUUGAUUAGAGUUUAGAGUUUAGUAUUUAGGGGUUAAGGUGUGAUUGGGAUAAGGUUUAGUAUCUAGAGUUUGGAGUUGGGAUAUGUUUAGUAUUACGGAUUGUGGGUUAGGUUAUAAUAUAUACUAUUUUGGUUAUAUAAAGUAGAACAUUCGGUGUAUAUGUACGUGAUUAAUAAAAGUGUAACGUAGAUGACUCCUUCUUUCUAAUGAAAUAUUUUUAGACAGACUUGACCAUGCAUUACAUAAACUACAUGGACAUACAUAACAUAUUAUUACCGGAUAAUGGCAAAGAUGAAUGGUAUACCCGGAUAAAUUAGGGUGUAAAUGUUAGUUUCUACAUUAUGUCAAAAUCAUUGUUACUCACUUAAUUUGUCUUCUAAAUAUGGCUAGUUGGCAAAUAAGCCCUAAAAUUAAACUGAAAAUAAGUAUAAUUUGCAUUAAUUCUAAAAUAGUAUUUUUGUUUAAUAAAAAAAAAAAAUUAGAAUGACAC